rnacentral:rRNA from 1 species
UACAGAGGGUGCGAGCGUUAAUCGGAAUUACUGGGCGUAAAGGGUGCGUAGGUGGUUUUGUAAGUUAGAUGUGAAAUUCCUGGGCUUAACCUGGGGACUGCGUCUGAUACUGCGAAGCUAGAGCACUGUAGAGGGAAGUGGAAUUUCCGGUGUAGCAGUGAAAUGCGUAGAUAUCGGAAGGAACAUCAGUGGCGAAGGCGACUUCCUGGACAGAUACUGACACUGAGGCACGAAAGCGUGGGGAGCAAACAGG